rfam:Fukomys damarensis contig122091, whole genome shotgun sequence.
UGUGUGUCCCUGUGUUUUUGUUCAGCAUAUUCCCAAAGACUGAUAGGAAGGUGCAAAAAAUAAAUUCUCUUUUGCAACCUAGAAGCCUCUAUUUGCCAUGAGUUUUGACAACUGUGGAAUGGGGUAAU